AAAAUUGACUAUUAGCUCCUUCCAAAGACGCCGGCGAUCGGACACGAUGAAGCGGAAAUGAACCAAAAGGAAGUCAGCAACGCUGCUGGCGGCACAGCCCAUCACCGGUGGUGGGCCGCCGCGAGCACAGGCCAGUUAGUAUGGGGAAUUCACGCUUUUAGAAAAGGUUACGCCGGUGAAUGUCGACUGAUGCCGCUUAAAGCCUUCGGCGUCGCCUCGCUUUUCGUCGGCGCCAUCGCUUCCGCCUCCGUUGCCUCUCUUCAGGCCUCCGGCAUCCAUUCCGUGGAAGACAUGAAGGCUGUUGGGGCAAGCAUAAGAACCGGACUUGGGUUAACACGAAGGGCACGGGAUGACUAAGUAUUUUGAGCACUAUCUUGAAUCAGUAGCCUAUAGAAUGUUGAAGUAUGAAGAUUAUCCAUCUCUGUGUAGUUUCUUGCUAAAAUCAUUCCAAGGGGAGCACAUAGCUGAAAAGGGGUACCCACUCAUUAACGAUUUUAGCAUUCGAGGCUGACAACUUUUCAAUCUUAAUCCAAGUGAUUUCACACAUUUUCUGGAAUGGCAGCUUUAGCUGAUAAAUUAGUCACCCUCUUCUGCCACCUCUCAUUCAGUUGUGCGACAUUUUUCUUGGUGCUUGUAAGUUGUAACUGCAGCAUUUUCCUCUUUCCCUUCAGCUAAAGUGUUUUCAUGUUGGAUGGGACUAAGAAAUAGUACUGUAAUGGAAAAUACUUAUCACCAGGUGCAUGUACUGAAAAUAAAAGUGCAUGAUAUGUGUUUUAUACGUA